UGGUGGGUAGUUUGACUGGGGCGGUCUCCUCCUAAAGAGUAACGGAGGAGCACGAAGGUUGGCUAAUCCUGGUCGGACAUCAGGAGGUUAGUGCAAUGGCAUAAGCCAGCUUGACUGCGAGCGUGACGGCGCGAGCAGGUGCGAAAGCAGGUCAUAGUGAUCCGGUGGUUCUGAAUGGAAGGGCCAUCGCUCAACGGAUAAAAGGUACUCCGGGGAUAACAGGCUGAUACCGCCCAAGAGUUCAUAUCGACGGCGGUGUUUGGCACCUCGAUGUCGGCUCAUCACAUCCUGGGGCUGAAGUAGGUCCCAAGGGUAUGGCUGUUCGCCAUUUAAAGUGGUACGCGAGCUGGGUUUAGAACGUCGUGAGACAGUUCGGUCCCUAUCUGCCGUGGGCGCUGGAGAACUGAGGGGGGCUGCUCCUAGUACGAGAGGACCGGAGUGGACGCAUCACUGGUGUUCGGGUUGUCAUGCCAAUGGCACUGCCC
rnacentral:rRNA from 1 species